rnacentral:rRNA from 1 species
CAGUCGCCGCGGUAAUACGUAGGGUGCAAGCGUUAAUCGGAAUUACUGGGCGUAAAGCGUGCGCAGGCGGUUAUAUAAGACAGAUGUGAAAUCCCCGGGCUCAACCUGGGAACUGCAUUUGUGACUGUAUAGCUAGAGUACGGCAGAGGGGGAUGGAAUUCCGCGUGUAGCAGUGAAAUGCGUAGAUAUGCGGAGGAACACCGAUGGCGAAGGCAAUCCCCUGGGCCUGUACUGACGCUUAUGCACGAAAGCGUGGGGAGCAAACAGGAUUAGAUACCCCUGUAGUCCCUGUCUCUUAUAC